GUCGAACGAGCCUUCGGGUUAGUGGCGGACGGGUGAGUAACGCGUGAGAAUCUGCCCUCAGGAGGGGGAUAACGGUUGGAAACGACCGCUAAUACCCCAUAUGCCGCGAGGUGAAAUGAAUUUCGCCUGAGGAUGAGCUCGCGUCUGAUUAGCUAGUUGGUGGGGUAAGAGCCUACCAAGGCUUCGAUCAGUAGCUGGUCUGAGAGGAUGAUCAGCCACACUGGGACUGAGACACGGCCCAGACUCCUACGGGAGGCAGCAGUGGGGAAUUUUCCGCAAUGGGCGAAAGCCUGACGGAGCAACGCCGCGUGAGGGAUGAAGGCCUCUGGGCUGUAAACCUCUUUUAUCAAGGAAGAAGAUCUGACGGUACUUGAUGAAUAAGCCACGGCUAAUUCCGUGCCAGCAGCCGCGGUAAUACGGGAGUGGCAAGCGUUAUCCGGAAUUAUUGGGCGUAAAGCGUCCGCAGGCGGUCUUACAAGUCUGUCGUUAAAGCGUGGAGCUUAACUCCAUUUCGGCGAUGGAAACUGUAAGACUAGAGUGUGGUAGGGGCAGAGGGAAUUCCCGGUGUAGCGGUGAAAUGCGUAGAUAUCGGGAAGAACACCAGUGGCGAAGGCGCUCUGCUGGGCCAUAACUGACGCUCAUGGACGAAAGCUAGGGGAGCGAAAGGGAUUAGAUACCCCUGUAGUCCUAGCCGUAAACGAUGAACACUAGGUGUCGGGGGAAUCGACCCCCUCGGUGUCGUAGCCAACGCGUUAAGUGUUCCGCCUGGGGAGUACGCACGCAAGUGUGAAACUAAGCGGAAUUGACGGGGGCCCGCACAAGCGGUGGAGUAUGUGGUUUAAUUCGAUGCAACGCGAAGAACCUUACCAGGGUUUGACAUCCUGCGAAUCCCUUGGAAACUUGGGAGUGCCUUCGGGAGCGCAGUGACAGGUGGUGCAUGGCUGUCGUCAGCUCGUGUCGUGAGAUGUUGGGUUAAGUCCCGCAACGAGCGCAACCCACGUCUUUAGUUGCCAGCAUUUAGUUGGGCACUCUAGAGAGACCGCCGGUGAUAAACCGGAGGAAGGUGUGGAUGACGUCAAGUCAUCAUGCCCCUUACAUCCUGGGCUACACACGUACUACAAUGCUACGGACAAAGGGCAGCAAACUCGCGAGAGCUAGCCAAUCCCAUAAACCGUGGCUCAGUUCAGAUCGUAGGCUGCAACUCGCCUACGUGAAGGAGGAAUCGCUAGUAAUCGCAGGUCAGCAUACUGCGGUGAAUACGUUCCCGGGCCUUGUACACACCGCCCGUCACACCAUGGAAGUUGGCCACGCCCGAAGUCGUUACUCCAACCCUUGUGGAGGAGGAUGCCGAAGGUGGGGCUGAUGACUGGGGUGAAGUCGUAACAAGGUAGCCGUACCGGAAGGUGCGGCUGGAUCACCUCCU
rnacentral:rRNA from 1 species